rnacentral:rRNA from 1 species
UACGUAGGGGGCAAGCGUUGUCCGGAUUUAUUGGGCGUAAAGAGCGUGUAGGCGGCCAGACAGGUCCGCUGUGAAAACUCGAGGCUCAACCUCGAGAUGUCGGUGGAAACCGUCUGGCUAGAGUCCGGAAGAGGAGAGUGGAAUUCCCGGUGUAGCGGUGAAAUGCGCAGAUAUCAGGAAGAACACCCGUGGCGAAGGCGGCUCUCUGGGACGGUACUGACGCUGAGACGCGAAAGCGUGGGGAGCGAACAGG